GAAAUGCGAGACGUAAUGCGAAUUGCAGAUCAACGCGAGUCAUCGAAUUUUUGAACGCACAUUGCGCCCUCUGGUAUUCCGGAGGGCACGCCCGUCCGAGUGUCAUUUCCACCUCAAGCUUCGGGCUUGUCGUUGGGCACCGCCCUCUAUAUGGGCGCGCCUCAAACGCAUCGGCGCCUCCGAGGGGCCCCUAGCGCACAGAGCCUAACCGCCCGCGCUUCGGGGCCCGCUAGGGGGCCGCCUCUCUGCCCAAGGGCAACUUUACACACCCGCAUGGCCUCGGAUCGGGCGGGGUUACCCGCUGAACUUAA
rnacentral:misc_RNA from 1 species